AGACUGGAUCCAGCCAGCCUCCAGGAGGGAGGAGAGGGACAUCGUGGUGGCCCUGGUCUCCCUGCAGGGCUCAGCAGCUCCCUCAGGACAUGGGGAAAGCUGGGAACCCUGAGACAGCACUGGAAGUUCUUGCUGCCUAAAUCUCUCCUGCCUGCUGCCCAGGGACCCCAUUUCUUCCCAUUCAGGGCUCUGCAGAGGCAGAAGAUGAGCAGCAAAGAUCUGAUGACCUUCAGAGCUGGAUGUUCUCACGGAGCUACACAUGCCACGAUCAUCACUAUUUGUAAGAGUCUCCAGUGUGCAUGAAGCCCAUUUUGCUGGAGGAUUAGUCCCCGCCCUUCAGGAGUGCCAAGGAAGACUCUGGAUUCUACGUCGCAUCUCUCCUGCUGCAAUUUUUUCCUCUUGAUAAUCUCACUGAUAAAACUUCCAAUAAGGAACAUUUCUCCCCAUGAGCAAGUUCUUACCUUCACUGCCAGGGAGGCCCCAGCUAAGGUUAUACUGGGGAGGGACUCUCUGGGGAGUACCUGGAAGAGGUCAGCUUCUCCUCAAAGGAAGCCUCUCCAGCUGGUGUACUGCAAGCCCUUCCAAGACCAAGAUCCCCCCUCCUGGCCUUUGGAACCAGCCUGUGUGCCAGUGCUGUGUCCCCAGUAACACACAUGUCCCUCGGAAGCCAUAGGAGGAUGCAGAGAGAGACCAAACUGAGAUUGAUUCUCAGCCCUAGCACUUACUCACUGUGUGGACAUAACCGCUCUGGACCUCAGCUUUGCUGUCUAUAAAAUGAGCACCAUAACAUGAACACAGGGAGAGUCAUAAAGACUGAAGUUGAUCUGUGCUGCGCCUGGCACAGAGGCCUCCCUCGAUAAAUGGCAGCCAUUGCUUUUGGGGUGCCCCAACACCCCUUGCCCCCACCCACCACCGGCUCCCACUUGGGCCCACACUGAGGAUGUGGCUGUUGUGUUGGGGAAAGGAAAAAAAAAGGCCAUGCCUGCCAUUCAGGGUCCCCACCCCCAACUGGUCUGCUUCUGUGGGAAGCAUUUUCUGAUGCCCUCACCCUACCCCUGGGCUGGGUGGCUAAGUGUCCAGCACCAUGGGGAAAGGACCAGCAUUCAGGGACAGGUUGGUUCAGCCCAGAAGAUCGUCCAGGCCUAGGUCCGGAAGCGAGCCAUGCCUGGGCUUCCCUUGCCCCCUCACCUGUCCUGCAGCAGCCGCUCCUGGAUGGCGAAGCACCUUGGAUGUCAAGUGUGGGCCUUCCCGGGCACAUGACAUGAGGGGGCACUUCUGUGGGUUGUUGGGGGCAGGAAGGGAUCUGUCCCCAGCUGGAUCUGGGUUCUCCCAUUUUGGGACCCAGUCAUGCCAGGGCAGCACACAUGGGCACUUAGCACACACUUCAUGAUGGAGCAGAGGAGGAACAAGGCAGAACCAGGCAGUCCCCAGGCCCCUGCUCUUGCCCUGCCCAGAGACAGUAGAGCAGGUAUCUCCAGCUCCUUAACCUCAACACACAGGAAGAAAUACAUUUUACAGCAACCGACAGACACAUGCAUUCACAAAACGA